GGUGUGAGUGACUGAGGAUGCGGGGGUUGGGGGUGGGAUGCCGGGCUGUAUGGGGCAUUAGCAUCCGGGCACUUGAUCUGGGUGGCAGAGAGUCGGUCUGUAGUUGUCAGUGACCGGUGGCCGCGUACCUGGGGAUGAGUGCACCUGACCAGUCAGUUCUGUGAGGCUGAGUAUGUACUGGUGUCCACACUUUACACUGGGAUCAGGGAGGGAUUAGGAAUUAGUGCAUUAGGCCACACAGAGUAAGUGGCAUGCCACUCUUAAAAGCACAAGUUCAGGGUGACCACAGGCAACUGCUUCCAAAACCUAUUUGUCACAAGGCAAAGGAGAGACUGAGAGGAAACAGACAGGUUUGGAUGUGCUACCCAAGGAAUGGCUGAGAUAGCCAGUGUGUGUAUCUGGGCUUAAAUGAAAGAUGGCAAACAGGACAGAUUAGGAUUUGAAUCAAUAGAAGAUCUGGUCUCACCAAUGUGGACAGGCAUCAUCGUAUUCAUUGAAGACUGAAAAGGAACAAAAAGGCAGAAGAAGGGGAUUUUACUCUCUCAAGUUGGGACAUCCAUCUUCUACCCUUACACCACAUCAAAACUCUUGUUCUUCUGGCUUUGGACUUGGGCACUCAUCGUCAGUUUUCAGGUCUUCAGUCUUGGACUGGGAGUUAUGCCAUUAGCUCCCCUGAUUCUCACACCUUCAAACUCAGACUGAAUUACACCACCAGAUUUCCUGGUUCUCCAGCUUGCAGACUGCAGAUCGUGGGACUCCUCUCUAAUCAUAUGAACCAAUUCUCAUACUAAAUGUUCUCUUAUAUCUCUAUCUCCUAUUGGUUCUUCUCUGGAGACCCCCUGGAUAGGGCCUAUCUACUUGCCUGGCAUUCACACCUGACUCUUCAUGUGUAUGCCAGCAGGUACAUCCUAUGGAAGCCAUCCUAGAAGGCCUAGGCUGUGGGAUUUUGUAGCCCUGUUACCUAGCUUUCCCUGCAUACUAGCCAGGGUAGGACAACUAUUUGAGUAACCAGGCUAUAGAUUAGCCACUGGUCCAGGAGGCUGCCAGACCAAAAAUCUUUGCUCUUACAGACUCAUGCUCUUGGGAAUCUGAAUUGGGAAAUCAGAAGUGAAGCAGUUGGCCAUGAUGAUUGGGAUUGAAAAGUCAUAAGGCAGAGUGAGGCCACUGGAGUCCUGGGCAAGCCAAAGGAAUAAGAGGAAUCAUGAGAAAGCAGCAGCCAAGAGAAAGAGAAAAGAUCUGGAUUGGAGGCCGAAGAAGAAAGUUGAUGGUAGGAGGAGAUACAGAUAGAAAAAAGAGACAAACUUAAACAGGUUAGACUUGUUCUUGGCAGAGUCCCCUACCGUCCUCCUGCAGAGAGUCCCUUGUAUCAGAAUGGUGGCUAAAUUUCAGUGUCAGUUUCCUGUGGGAUGGUCACUUGAUUUCAUAAUACCUGAAACAGGACUUAUGCAUUAACAAGAAGAAUCAGGGGCCAGGCACAGUGGCUCACACCUGUAAUCUCAGUGCUUUGGGAGGCCAAGGUAGGAGGAUCUUUUUUUUUUUUUUUUCAGGGUUUCACUCUGUUGACCAGAGUGGAAUGGAGUGAUACAGUCGUGGCUCACUGCAGCCUCAACUUCCCAGGCUCAAGUGGCAGGAAGAUCUUUUGAGGCAAGGAGUUUGAGACCAGCCUGGGCAACAUCAUGAAACUCUGUUUCUCUAUGAAAAAAUAAUAAAAUCAUUCUAGUGUGAUGCACGCUUGUAGUCCAGCUGCUUGGAAGGCUGAACCAGGAGGAUCCCUUGAGCCCAGGAGUUCAAGGUUACAGUGAGCUAUGAUCACCCUAUGGCACUUCAGCCCGGGCAACAGAGUAAGACCCAUCUCAAAAAAAAAAGGAACCGGAAUGACAACCAAGAAAACAAAUGUAUCUUUUCAACCAGUGAGCCUUCUGUAGCCCAAAGAAAACAAUGUACUCAAGGAUGAGCUUACUGAAAAAUAAAAAGCAAACAUUCAUAUAAUGUUUAGUAUGUGCUUAAUAUUAUGCUGAGUAAAGUGAGCCUAUCAUAUAAGCGUAUUGAAAAAAUAAAAGCAAACAUUUAUGUAAUGUUUAGUAUGUGCCUAAUACGCUAAGCUGGUUCAUAUAUGUUAACUCAAAAUUCAAGGUAUGUUGGUACCAUUAUCAUCCCCAUUUUAGAGAUGAGAAAACACAGACAUAAAAAAGAAAAGUCAGCCUGAGAGUGGUAAAGCCAGGAUUCAAAUCCAGGCAAUCCAGCUCCAGGUUCCAUACUCAUAGCCAGGUGCCAUAUAUACAUUUGUAGAUUGGCUUGGAUCAACAGCUGUUACUGUACAUACAAGCUCAUUGCCAAGAAUGGCAACUCAACGGUAUUUUUUCAAAACCCCUAAAUCAAAGCCAAUCUACAAAUAUGAAGUCUGGCUCCCCCUUUUGCCUGAACCCUUUUAAAUUCUGAACCUUUGAGUAACUGUAAUACCAUGAAAAAGAACAACUUCUAUUUGUUGAGUAAGUGUUUUACCAGGCUUAUGGGUAGGAGCUUUGCAAGCAUUGUCUCUAAAUUCCCUUUACUGGUGGCAGCCAUAACUUGGCUACCAUGAGGAAAUGCAAGCUCAGUAUUGCCACAGCUACAGAUUUUUCAAGAGAUGCCACAUGUGGAAGUUCAAAAUGAGGUCUGUUGUCAGCUCAAUGAUGCUGCAAGAAAUAGGCCAUACAUAGGACAAUAUACCUCACACAGCAAGGAGACGCCUUGUGUGGCUGUGAGUAGAUCUUUGAGAAAAGACAGUCUCUGUUUUACAGGCAUGAGCCACCGCACCCAGCCUCAUAUUCGCUUUAUUUAAGAAGAUAAUGGAGGUUAUGGACCUCUAGCAAAAUGGACAGGUAAAGCAAGAAAGUGGAACAAAAGUGAUCUAAGUGGAUCUAAGAAGGAGAGCAGUGCAGAAAGGUACAAAAGACAGGUGUACAAAAAAGGAAGGAAAUAUGAUAAAUGUUACAAUGUGUAUCAACCUUGAGAACAUGCCAAGUGAAAUCAGCCAGUCACAAAAGGUCAUAUACUGUAUGGUUCCACUUACAUGCAGUACCUAGAGUAGUCAAAUUCACAGAGACAGAAAGGAGAAUGAUGGAUGCUGGGAACUAGGGUGAGGUGGGGAUGGGGAGUUAUUGUUUCAUAGGUACAGAAUUUCAGUUUUGCAAGAUGAGAAGAGUUCCAGAGAUGGAUGGUGGUGAUGGUUGCACAACAGUGUGAAUGUACUUAACACUUAGGUAUGUACUGAAUGUACAUGUCAAAAUGGUUAAGAUGAUACAUUUUGUUAUGCAUAUUUUACCACAAUUAACAAAAAGGCAGCUGUGCAGCAGGCCUGAAAAGCAGCCCACCCAAAGUGGGAGGAGGACAGAGUGGGAAGUCUCUAGGAGAAAAAUGGAAAUGGAAUGUUGGAAUCUAUUAAAAUGAGGCAAAAGACUCUGAUGCCAGAGAGUCCCUUAGUGGAAAAAAAUUAACAAAUUGUAUAGAAUAACAAGCAACUGACUGAAAUAAGGCAAUCACCAACUCCAAGAAAAAUAAAGGAUUGUGUAAAAUGUACAGUCUAUCAAGGCAGAUAAUAAUAUUUGUACUGGUAAUGUAAAAAAAUGGCUUCUGAUUUCACCAAAAAUUGUGCUGUAACUACGCUGUGUUGGCAAAGCGUGGAGAGGGUGAAGGAUGUGGAAAUAGGAAGAGCCAAAACUUCAUUUACCUUGUCAGGAAGUCAACACAUUCUCUUGAGAUUAAGAAAUAAGGCAAUAUCAGUGUAGUAUAUUUAAAUGUUGAGGUUAAAAAAAAAACAAAACACAGAGAAUAGAGCUGUCCAUGAAAGUGUUGUCUUUUCAGAUGGGAACUGGAGGGUGGCAAUGGGUAGGAAUUUUUUUUUUCAUCUUCCCAAACUGAAACUUUGUAUCCUUAGACAUUAAGUCACACUAAGGCCCAUUUCCGCCUCUCCAACCCCCACCCCCAAGCACGUGGCAUCCACUGCUCUUUUUCAGAAGCCUUGCAGACUCAAAAUUAUCUGCACUGUUUAGGUGAAAACUAAAAGUGGAGAUUUUUAAAGGUGUAAGUCAUGUUGCUGUUUUUCCUCAGGUAUACUGUUUUCAGCCUAGAGCAAAAGUAAACUUGAAGUGGUCUCUGCAGGUAUAUCUGACAUAAAAUGUUCAUAAAGCUGGAGAAAUACCUAACAAGUUUAACAGUUAGUGGAGCUUUCCCUGGCACAGAAACUCCUUCACAGACUUUACAGAAUGUCUUUGAUAUACCAGUUUCUAGGUUCUUGGGAUCUGAAUGUGUAUGUGCAUGUGUACAAAUUCGGUAGUUUCAAUCUGGUGUGUUUGAUGCUAUGAUAAGGUAUGAACAGUGAGCUAUGGAAACACAGAUGAGGGACAGUUCAACCUGGGGUCAGAAGAUACUCUCUGGAGGAGGUGGUGAUCAAGGCAGUUUUUAAGGAGAGGUUAAGCAGAGGGAGGGAGACUGCAUUGUUAUAUGACAUGAAGAAUGGCACAGAUCAGGACUUGUUUGCGGAAUUUACAAGGGAUUUGGUGUUGCUCAAGAAAUGGAAGUCAGGGAAAAGCAGGAUGAGGGUAGCAAGGUGAGCAGAGGAGAGGGUCACAGAGAGUCUUAGUUUUUUCCCUGUAGGUGAUAAGAUGCUCUCGGAGGGCUUUCAGGCAGGAGAAAGGCAUGGUCAAAGCUGUGUUUGUUAUUUGUUUUGCAACAAGUUUUUCCGUGUAUUUGCCCCAUCAGGCUGAAUUGUCAUCAAGAAGACAUCUAUUUUUGCCUGUCUCCAUAUUAUGUUUUUAGUUAUGAAAAAUUUUCAAACAAAAUUAGAGAGAAGAAUAUU